rnacentral:misc_RNA from 1 species
UUAAUCGUGGUCAGAACCGAAGUUCUCGCAAAUUGCAGUGUUUGAAAUUUUGAUUUCAGAGCCAAAUUGACUUUAGCCUCACUUAGGUGUGAGAAGUCAGAAAGAUGUGUGGUUUUGAAAGCUGGUUUCUAAUUUAAUAUGGUAGUCUCGGUGGCGUAGUAUGAUCAAGAUCGCUUUUCUUGCUCGCUCGUCUAUCAGUUUGUGUAGAAGGCUGCCUCCAUUUCCACCAACUUUCACUUUUCAUAGACAAAAGGGUUAUUGUCUUCCUUGUGUUAAAGAAAUCCUCUCAGUUUCCAUAAGAAAGACGCUCUCUUUCUGUUACUUUCCCAAGAAAAACUGUAUUCUUUCUCAAUAGGAGCUGAACUUCUUUGAUUGUCUGAAUGUAGUGACCAAAACCCAGGUUAAAAUUUUUCAUUUUCUUUUUUUUAUUGUAAUCUAACCCUUGCUUUCUGAUCACACUCAUGAUUUAAUGUUAGCAGUCUUCCAUUUUAUAUUUCCCACAUUAAAGUAGCGAGUGCAUGAAGCUUAAAGUUUAGCUUUCGAGUUUUUUUUUUCUCCUUUUAUUUCUAUCUUAAAAUGGGAAAUUUAUGGUCUUGUAUCUGUUUAUUGUUUCCUCUAAUUAUCUUGCUCGCUCCUGUUUCAAUUGGACAAUUGUCUCCCAGUGAAACCAGAACUCUUUUCCAAGUUCAGAAACUUCUUGAACAUCCUCAAGUGCUUCAAGGAUGGACAAAUUGGACCAACUUCUGUUAUCUCCCUCCCUCGCCUUCCCUCAAGAUUGUUUGCUCAAACAAUCAUGUAACAGAAUUAACUGUAGUUGGAAACAAAAGCUCCCCAUCUCAGAGCCCAAAACCAAUUGAUUCAGUGAAUUUCUCAGUCUCCCAACAAACUUUGUCUAAGAACUUCUCUAUCGAUGCUUUCUUCACUGUUCUAACUAGGCUUUCAAACUUGAAAGUAUUAUCACUAGUUUCCUUAGGAUUGUGGGGUCCAUUACCUGCCAAGAUUAACAGGUUUUGGUCUCUUCAAGUGCUAAAUGUUAGCUCAAAUUUCAUUUAUGGGGAGAUUCCUCAACAGGUUAUGUCAUUAAAGAAUCUUGCUAGUCUUGUUUUAGCCGAUAAUUUGCUGAAUGGGAGUGUACCAGAUCUCGAAAGCUUAGUCGCACUUCGAGAGCUGAAUUUAAGUGGCAACCAUCUUGGACCCAGCUUCCCUUCACUGGGUAACAAUCUUGUUACUGUAAUUUUGAGUAACAAUUCCUUGAGAUCCGUUAUUCCUUCUGGAUUCAAGAACUUCAACCUUCUUCAGCAAUUAGACAUCUCGUCCAAUAAGCUAAUUGGACCAAUCCCAUCUACUCUGUUCUCUCUGCCUUCAAUUCAGUCCCUUGAUUUAGCCCAAAAUCAGUUGAGCGGUGCCCUGCCAACCAACAUUUCUUGCACUGCUAAGCUUAAAUUCGUGGACAUUUCUCGCAAUCUUUUGAUAGGAAAAUUACCUUCAUGUAUUGCAUCCAAUUCUGUAAAUCGGACCGUCAUUAGUUCAUGGAAUUGUUUGUCUGGUGCAAAUUCAAGUUACCAACAUCAAUUUGCAUUCUGCCAUAAAGAAGCUUUGGCUGUUAAGCCCCCAGCUGAACGUGAAAAGGAAAAAUCUACAAUCAAACUAGGACUGAUACUUGGUAUUAUUGGAGGUGUUGCGGGGAUAGCAGGUGUUCUUGGAUUGUUGAUUGUGAUCAUUAUUAGAAGAUCGCAAACAAGAAGAGCUUAUGGUGGCAAGUUUGAUGGAUCUUUUGCUGAUAAAAUGUCUUUUCGUAGCUCCUCUGUGCCAAACAUUGAUUCAAGGCGUGUGCCUCAGACAAUGAGGUCAGCUGCAAUAGGUCUUCCACCGUAUCGUGUUUUCACAUUAGAAGAAAUUGAGGAUGCAACUAACAACUUUGAUCCAACGAAUUUCGUGGGAGAAGAAUCUCAGGGACAGCUCUAUAAAGGUUGGCUCAGAGAUGGCUUGGUGGUCCUGAUAAAAUGUGUGAAAUUAAAGCAGAAGAAUUUGCCUCAAAGUUUGGUGCAGCACAUGGAGGCACUUUCAAAGCUGAGGCAUCUGCAUUUGAUCAGUGUUCUUGGACAUUGCAUUGUUACUUAUCAGGAUCAUCCAAGUACAGCUAGCACUGUCUUUGUGGUUCUUGAACACAUCUCCAAUGGAUCUCUUCACGAUUAUCUUACUGAUGGGAGAAGGAAGGAUGUCCUGAAAUGGCCGCAAAGAAUGGCAAUUAGUAUUGGAGUUGCCAGGGGAAUCCAUUUCUUGCACACAGGAGUUGCACCUGGAAUUUUUGGGAAUAAUUUAAAGAUUGAAAACGUAUUGUUGGAUGAGAGUCUCACUGCAAAACUUAGUAACUAUAACAUUUCCUUGCCAUCAAAGGUUGGUUCACAGAGUCCUCUAAAUGGACUAGAUAUCCAUAAUCUUAGCAGUGCAAAUGCAGAAAAGGAAGACAUUUAUCAACUGGGUGUUAUCCUAGUUCAAGUCAUUACUGGCAAACUUAUAACAUCCCCAAGUGAAUUGGAAGAAUUAAGGAGUCAGGUAAAAAUUCAAGACUGCAAGUCUCAUAUGUUGCCUUCAUUUUAAUGAUGCCAUUAUUUUUCAAAUGCUUUUUCCUGUUCUAUGAACAGCUAGAAAAAGGCUUAGCUGAGGCGCCAUCAAAACUACGAGCUAUGAUAGAUCCUUCAACAAGGGGCAGUUUCGCAUACGAAUCACUAAGAACUACAGUCAAAAUCACCAUUAAUUGCCUCUCAACAGACUCGAGCAGUAGACCUUCAAUAGAAGAUGUCCUCUGGAAUCUGCAGUAUUCAAAUCAAGUUCAGGAUGGAUGGACCAGUAGCGGAAACCUUGGCACGCAGUUAUAGUAUUGCUUUUUUCUUGAGUUUCAAACCAAUUGAGCUGUUACACUCUGUUGCUUUCCUGUAUGUAUUUAUUGUAUGACUAUGUGAAUAAUAAAGAAACCACCUUGUAUUUAUUUUAGGCCUAAUGUUUCAAAAGAAAAUUUGAAAUUUUAUUGCGUGUGAA